ensembl:snRNA U6 U6 spliceosomal RNA
GUGCUCCCUUUGGAAGCACAUAGACUCAAAUUGGAGUGAUGUAGAGAACAUAAAUAUGGGUCCUUCCUCAAGGAUGACACACAGAUUCAUGAAUCAUUCCAUGUUUUU